rnacentral:misc_RNA from 1 species
AACUUUUAGCAAUGGAUCACUUGGCUCUCGCAUCGAUGAAGAACGCAGCGAAAUGCGAUACGUAAUGUGAAUUGCAGAUUUAUAGUGAAUCAUCGAAUCUUUGAACGCAUCUUGCGCCCCGUGGUAUUCCGCGGGGCAUGCCUGUCUGAGUGUCAAUACUAUCUCAACCUUACAUUUUUGUAAUGAAUUUGUAUUGGAUUGGAACUUGGGCUCCGGCGGGGUUAGAACCGCCGGCCUCAAACGCAGUAGUAGGUUAGCCGAAUUGCGGUUUGACCGGGUGUUGUAGAGUCGCCUCACUCGGGACGCACGUCGGAUUAGCCGAUAACCCAAAAUUGCAUUUGAUUACUCAAAACGAUUAGACCUCAGAUCAGGCAGGAUUACCCGCUGAACUUAAGCAUAUCAAUAAGCGGAGGC